GACGAACGCUGGCGGCGUGCCUAAUACAUGCAAGUCGAGCGGAAGUUGGAGAGCUUGCUCUUCAACUUUAGCGGCGGACGGGUGAGUAACACGUGGGCAACCUGCCCUGCAGAUCGGGAUAACUCCGGGAAACCGGUGCUAAUACCGAAUAGUUUUCGCCACCUCCUGGUGGCGUACGGAAAGACGGUUUCGGCUGUCACUGCAGGAUGGGCCGGCGGCGCAUUAGCUAGUUGGUGGGGUAACGGCCCACCACGGCCACGAUGCGUAGCCGACCUGAGAGGUUGAUCGGCCACACUGGGACUGAGACACGGCCCAGACUCCUACGAGAGGCAGCAGUGGGGAAUCUUCCGCAAUGGACGAAAGUCUGACGGAGCAACGCCGCGUGAGUGACGAAGGUUUUCGGAUCGUAAAACUCUGUUGUGAGGGAAGAACAAGUACCAAUUAACUACUGGUACCUUGACGGUACCUCACCAGAAAGCCACGGCUAACUACGUGCCAGCCGCCGCGGUAA
rnacentral:rRNA from 1 species